CAGUCGCCGCGGGAAUACGAAGGGGGCUAGCGUUGUUCGGAAUUACUGGGCGUAAAGGGCGCGCAGGCGGCCAUUCAAGUUAGAUGUGAAAGCCCUGGGCUCAACCUAGGAAUUGCAUUUGAUACUGUUUGGCUUGAGUUCGGGAGAGGUGAGUGGAAUUCCCAGUGUAGAGGUGAAAUUCGUAGAUAUUGGGAAGAACACCAGUGGCGAAGGCGGCUCACUGGACCGACACUGACGCUGAGGCGCGAAAACGUGGGGAGCAAGCAGGAUUAGAGACCCCUGUAGUCCCUGUCUCUUAUAC
rnacentral:rRNA from 1 species